GGUUAAACAGGUGGAUCCGAUUUUUAAAUCAUCGAAUUGAGUGGUCGAUUAAAUGAAAGAUUUCUUCUAUCAAAAUAUAUAUAAUAUUAAUUAUAUUAUAUAUAAUAUAAUACGUCAUUGCAUUGAACAUCGAUUGAAAGGAUUGGUCAUUGGAUUAAAGAUUGUAGGGUUGAUAUGGUCUCUCUUUAGGGUUGAAUUGUCUCCCUAGAAUAAUAAUAAUAUUAAUCCAAAUGCCAAAAAUGAUCAAGGAGUUGAUCCAAAGACCAAAAAAUCAAAAACAAUCAAGAUCGAAAGUACGGGACUCCCGUGCUUAUAAAUUAUUUUUAAUGAUAGGACAUUCGAUUUGACGAUCGGCUCAGUUAGGCAUAAUUUACGUUAUUGAAACUAUUUAGAAAUCAAAUUUUAUAAUUUUUCGACAUCAUUUAUCAAGCGAUCACAUGGUCUAAAAAAUGACUAUUUUAAUAAUCGAUAUGAUACGUUUUUAAGUUCAAUGGUAUAGAAGCAUCCAAAUUACAUGAAAAUUUAAUAUAAAAUUCUACUUAAUAUUAAGAGUAAGAACAAUACUUCCGAUUUGAAAUUGAAGUCCUUUAUCAUUGAUUUUUAUGAGAUUUUUAUUUCAGCCGUUCAUUUUGAGACUACUCGUUUGCUGGGCAAACGAAGUCAAAAAAUUAUGAAAUUUGAUUUCUAUAUAUUUCUAAUAGCGUAGAUCAUGUCUAACAAAACCGAUCGCUAAAUCAGAUGUCUCAUCAUUGAAAAUAAUUUAUAAGUACUAGGCCUCCGUAUUUUCGAAAGUACGGAAGCCUAGCACUGUAGACAAUUAUCCCUUUUUCACUAGUUAAGAAUCUUAAGAUUACACCGACCGUCCCUAGAGCAAGUGGCAAAGGGUUUGGUGGUUGGUACCCGAGACCCAAGUUCGAAUCCUAGUUGAUUCACAUUUCUAGCUAAGUUUAUUUCUAAAUGAAAUAAACGAAGCGGGUAGCGUGCUACCUAUCUCUCAAAAA
rnacentral:lncRNA from 1 species